rnacentral:tmRNA from 1 species
GGGACUGUCUGGUUUCUACAUAUAAUAUAUUAUCUAGUAUAUCAUCCAUAUAAGCUUUAUUAGUUUUUAUAAUAAAUGCUAAACAUAAUAUAUUAACUUUAUCUAAAAAAAUGAUUUAUGUAUAAAUUUUAUACAUAAAUAACAAUAAAUUUUUAUUAGGUAUCAAGUGAUAUAUACCUAUAUAUUUAUUUGAUAUGUUUUAUUUAGGUGCUCUUAAGUAUAUUUUUAUAAUUACACUUAAGAUAAGUCUAUAUUAAAUUAAUACUUUAUUUCUAUUAGAUUUAGCUAUAUAUUAUAUUAUUAUGGACGUGGGUUCGAUUCCCACCAGUUCCA